rnacentral:tRNA from 1 species
AGCCUAUUAGCUCAAAUGGUUAGAGCAUUGUGCAAUAGAACAAAAGGUGUGGGUUCAAUUCCUACAUAGGCUU